AUCCAAAUCAGCUGUGACUAUUACGAGUGUGUUCUUGUUCUGGUCAUCGUUGUCUGGCUGAUAGGAGUGUAUUUCCCCUAUACGAGGCUUCUUGGCAGCCCCAGCAGAGACCGUGUAAAGAAUCACCGCUGCGGAGGUGUCCAGUGAGUGACAAUCCUGUCCAUAUGUGGAGCGGAGCAUGUGGGUUGCUGGGCACUUUUUGCAUGCAGAUAGAGCCAGCCUCCAAUUGUGAGAUGUAGGUGUAUCUACUGGGGAAGCUCAACAAGUUUUAAUCUGUAUUUUAUAAAUACUGAACUCUUACCUGAUUAUUUAUGUAAUAAACUUUUGUAAACAUUUGAA